AUUCACACAUUAUUUUGCAAGUGAAAACCCAAGUACUGUUGACUGCAGGCCUGCUGAGGAGGCAGCAGUUGGUGACGGGAGCCUAAACCUAGUGUAGCUCUACUUUUCUGAGUCAGAGGCACAGUUAGUUUUUUAUGUAAAAAAAAUUUAAAGAGGUGAGAUCAGGGAAGUAAAGUGUUUGCAGUUUGUCUUGGUUGGUCAUUUUAUUUGUGCUGUUGCUUUCUUCCUCCCUCGCUCUUUCUCUUCCUCCCUUCUCUCCUUUCCCUGCUCUUUGCCUCUCCUUCCCAUCUCUCUCUUUUUUUCUCCUUUCUUUCUGCCGUCCUUCCUCCUGCCUCUUUCUCGUCCUCCUGCCCAUUACUUACAGGUCUCAUUGGUCUGGAUUUUCCUUAUAAUCCUCUGUGCCUCCUUCACACUGGCCUUUUUUUUCUCAUUCACUGAACACAUCCAGCUCAUGAUUUCUUCAGAGCAUUACUUUAUAUUCCUCCUGCUAGGAUGUUAUUUCCCUAGAUUUUUGUUUGGCUUUUCUUUAUCAUCUUAGAGAGAGCUUUCCUAACAGACCUUGCUAAAAAUUAUCUUAUUUUAUCUUUCUUUUUCACAGCACGGAACCUGAAAUUGUCUUAUUUAAAUAUUUGAACUCCCCCUUUUUGACAUGUUUUUCAAAAUAUAAAGUAUUUGUUGAUUGACAGAUCUAGUGUUAGCACUAAUGGACAGUGUUAUCUCCCUGAAAAUCUUCAGAGAGACCCUGAUGAACAAAGAAGCUCUUCUUUUCUUCCUCUGAUCUGAUGUUCCAAUUGGGUAAACAGUAAUAUUUAUAUUUGAAACAGCAAAUUAUAUUAGAAAAAGGGUUUUCAGUUGUUGCUUCUGGGUCUCAGUACCACUGAAGUGCAACCCUGGGUAUUGAGGUCACCACCCUCGAUACCACCUAAUAGGAGUCCCCACAGAACCAUGUGACUGCAAAUACCAUCCCAGCCCUCAAACCUGGGUAACACUUAGAACUCCCUGCUUGUGGAGCAGUUGAUCUCUGAGAAUGCCUUGACCUUGCAGUGGUUAGAGGCUUACUUUCUUCUCUUCAUUAGCAGGACAAGCAUUAGGCUUCUUCCUAGCAUCUUAGAUUUUUAUCUGUUCAAAAGUGGAAUCAGAUGUUUCCUUUAAGCCCUUAUGUUCCCAGAGGAGGUGGGGUAUAUGUCCUUCCGAUAGGAACACAGUCCUUGGAAUGGUUUCUGAAAGGCCUCUAAAACUGAGAGAGACAGGCCUCUAAAACCGAGAGAGACAGAUCCUGAAGAGAUGGGUCACAACGGCCAAAAACCAUAUUUUUCCGGAGACACCCAAUUAGUAGGUGACUGGAGUUGUCUGUAGCUGGGCAAAAAAAAAUUUGAGGUUCUCAUAAGUCUCAAAUGCCAUUAAUUUAAUUGUGGACACGAUUUUCUAGACUUGGAGUUUUCUGCUCUUUAUAUUCCCAGUUAUGCUAUAUAGCUAUAUUCUUGUUCAUGCUGGGCUUUUAGAGACCUUGUGAAGUUAAUGUGGUCAGUCUGACCAAGGGGAACAAGAGUUUACCAGUGGGUUCGAUAACUGUCUCAGAUGCAUUCUGAACACAGAGGGUGGUGUAUGUGGAGGGGGAUGUUUUGACAUGUGAGAAUUUCCAAGUUACAAUGUUUUAGGUUAUUUAAAUAACAUAAUUUUGCUUGAAAUCAUAUAAUUUCCACGAUUGAAGCGUAUUUGGUUUUAUUAUACCCUUGCUCUGAGGCGCUCCCUAUGUACUUUCCAAGGAAGAGUCAGUUGUUACUCUUGCGAUAAAGUGGCAAAGCUCCUUCCGUCUUCUCUUUAUCCACAAGAGUGGAUAAAGAGUACCUCCCACUGAGAUGAGAUGCAGUGCAUUAGGCUCACCAUCUCAUUUCUGUCCUAGCCUUUCCAGGACAAUGGGUUCCUUGAUAAUAAGUAAAUGAGGCUUACUUUAGGGUAUGCAGAUGUUGACAAGCCCCAGACUGUGUUGCUUUAAUCAUUCUUAAAAAAUAGUGUGGUCAGAAAAGUAUUGCUGUGACUUUUGUUUUAUACUUUUUGUUUUAUUUUAUUUAUUUUUCUUUUUACCUGUAGAAAAAAACAGUAAUUUCUGUUUUAUUUUUAAGACUAGAACCUAGUUUUUAAAAUAUUCCAUAAUAUUUUCCUUAGUUUGUAUUACCCUUGAAAUUGAGAUGCUUACAUCUGGUCUUUUAUACUAGU